AAACCAGCACCUCAAGUGGUCAGGAUGAUUAUUGGGCCUAAAGCAUCCGUAGCCUGCUCUGUAAGUUUUCGGUUAAAUCUGUACGCUCAACGUACAGGCUGCCGGGAAUACUGUGCAGCUAGGGAGUGGGAGAGGUAGACGGUACUCGGUAGGAAGGGGUAAAAUCCUUUGAUCUCUCGAUGACCACCUGUGGCGAAGGCGGUCUAUCAGAACACGUCCGACGGUGAGGGAUGAAAGCUGGGGGAGCAAACCGGAUUAGAAACCCCGGUAGUCC
rnacentral:rRNA from 1 species